AAUAUUUAAGCAGGAUUUUCGACAGCUCAACUCCGCUCACAUACUCUAGUGCGCGUGCAAAAUUGGGCUGUAUAAACCGAAUGCUACACGGAUAUAGACAGCACAUGAAUCGACGUAUGCCAGCGUCAAAGUUCAACAAAAGUCAGCCAGGACUAACUGAAGGGUUAAAGUGGAGGUGUGGACUUUGACUGACCGCUGAGGAAAAGCAAAGAGUCGGGGAGCUACAGUAACUCCUAUCGAUGACAGAGUGGGAAGGUGGACCUGAGCCCUAGGACCAUGCCCCAGGACUACCUGACAUGAUGGCUCCUCGCUGUCCCCAGUCCACCUGGCCAUGCUGCUGCUCCAGUUUCAACUGACCUGAGCCCUAGGACCAUGCCCCAGGACUACCUGACAUGAUGACUCCUUGCUGUCCCCAGUCCACCUGGCCAUGCUGCUGCUCCAGUUUCAACUGUUCUGCCUUACUAUUAUUUGACCAUGCUGGUCAUUUAUGAACAUUUGAACAUCUUGGCCAUGUUCUGUUAUAAUCUCCACCCGGCACAGCCAGAAGAGGACUGGCCACCCCACAUAUGCUCUCUCUAAUUCUCUCUUUCUUUCUCUCUCUCUCUCGGAGGACCUGAGCCCAAGGACCGUGCCCCAGGACGACCUGACAUGAUGACUCCUUGCUGUCCCCAGUCCACCUGACUGUGCUGCUGCUCCAGUUUAAACUUUUCUGCCUUGUUAUUAUUCGACCAUGCUGGUCAUUUAUGAACAUUUGAACAUCUUGGCCAUGUUCUGUUAUAAUCUCCACCCGGCACAGCCAGAAGAGGACUGGCCACCCCACAUAGCCUGGUUCCUCUCUAGGUUUCUUCCUAGGUUUUGGCCUUUCUAGGGAGUUUUUCCUAGCCACCGUGCUUCUACACCUGCAUUGCUUGCUGUUUGGGGUUUUAGGCUGGGUUUCUGUACAGCACUUUGAGAUAUCAGCUGAUGUACGAAGGGCUAUAUAAAUAACAUUUGAUUGAUUGAUUGAUUUCCAGGCCUUGUCCUUCCACAACUGGUUCCUCCGACAGGGAAGAGGAAUGUGUUCAGCUGGAGAUAGAGGCCUGCAGGAAAAUACUCCUCAGGAUUAAAACUCAAUCCAAGUUUAUACAUCUACACUAGUCUGUUUUAAAUAACACUGUAUUGGUUCUAAUCACACAAUUUCUGAGUCUUGACUUGUA